rnacentral:lncRNA from 1 species
ACGCUACAGAAAUAAAGCCUAGGAAAUAUCAUUUCACUGCAAGAACCAUGAUCACAGUCUGCGGGGCUGUCACUACCAGCUGACUGAUCAGCAAGCUCAGCCAAUCAGAACUUAGCAAUGCCCAGACAGUUCUAAUCCCAGACACAGAGUGGUGGUCAGCUGAAAACAGCUUAUAAAGUUCCCAGCAUCAGCUACUCCAGUUCAUGUUCCAAGUUCAUAAAGCCGAUAUAAACAAAGUGCAUUAUCCAUGAUCAGCGUCUAAUAAUAAAACAAUAAGAUUAUACCUGUUGCUAAUAUGUCUACGACUAGGAGACAGCAUGACAAGGGCAGACAAUUAAAUCAGGAUAUGCAAUAAGUUAAUCCUGGGAGACUCUGGAAGAAUGAAACGUGCCUCAUCUCUGUCACCAGGAGCCUUGUGAGUCACUCCAAAGCACCUCUGGCUGCAGGAGCCUCAGGAAAGAUGCUUUUCAACCUGUUUUGUCCCUUUGUACUGCUCCAUGAAAGACUGUCUCUCCUUUGCUCCCCUCCCACCUUUCAACUGAUUCCCUGUGACACUUGUGAGCACUAACCACAGGCCAAACACUGCUGAGUGCUCUCUGUAUCAUCUCCUUUACAUCUGCACAAUGAUCCUGGGGGUAGGGAUGACACUAUCCCCAUUCAAAGGGAAGAAGACCGAGGCUCAAAAAGUCUAAGCACAUGAAGGAGGCUGUGCAUGUAUGGAGAUAUGUAGCAAAUCUCUGUUCCUGGCUCUCAAUUUUGCAGGAAACGUAAAACUUCCCUAAAAAAUAGUCUUUAAAAAAAAAAAAACACUUAAGCAUCUCGCCCAAGCAUAACCAGUAAACAGCAAAUGGGGAUUCAAACUGAAGCUUUCAGACUCCAUAAAUCUCCUCUUGCACACAAUCCCAUAGUGCUUCUGUGUCCUGAUAUAUCCCUAGACACAAAGAUCUCAGAGCCUUGCUGAGGAAAUAAGACCUAAAAGGACAAAAGGAGAAUCCCCAGUGCCCUCAGUGAUCUCGGUUCACCUGUGGUCUUAGCAGGGACUGUGCCCUGUUGACCUCAGGGCCCUUGUACAGAGGACCAGCACAGAGAGCAAGCAUAGCAGAGUAGGGAAUUCAUUAGUGUUUGUAGACUGAGAGGGAGGGAGGGAGAAACUGCUCCUUGGACAGGAGACCAUGGAACAGUCUAGAAGCCAUCACUUUCAGAACCACACAGGGCUACACAGUGGGGUUCUGAAAGUGCUCCUUGGACAGGAGACCAUGGAACAGUCUAGAAGCCAUCACUUUCAGAACCACACAGGGCUACACAGUGGGGUUCUGAAAUGCUCCUUGGACAGGAGACCAUGGAACAGUCUAGAAGCCAUCACUUUCAGAACCCCACAGGGCUCCCACAUACAUACAGGAACUCGAAAGUGGAGUUUAGGGGGUAAGCUUGGUCCUUUUCAGAUCCUGCCAAAGAUUUAAAAUGUCAAUAUUUUGUUCAAUAUGGACUUUUUAAAUCUAAUUUUGAUUUUUUUAAAAUAGUGCGUUGAAAUAUCACACAUCUGGAUUUUCAAGUCUUUCAAGCAUGCCCUUCCGGGUCCCUCUGAGGCAAGUGCCUCACUCUCCUCAUCCUUGUCCCAGAGCUUCACCACCUUCAAACUUGAAGCAAAAGUCACACUCAGGACACAGCAGUCAUGUGAGUGCAAGCAGUGGGCUCUCAGUUCACAGCCACAGAGUUCGUGCCCAGAACAUUCUGGCUCUGCUGUCCCCAAGCUGUCCCCAAGCGUGUGUUGGCAGCUCCUAACCAGGGGAGGACGAUUUGAACAAUGUUUCGGUGCUUAAUUAAAUUCCAAGAACACCUGUUUCAUCAGGUUAUAAAUUCCAACUGAAUUUUAAGAGGCUUCUGUUUGGCACACAGAGCUUUUAUUUUCUAGGCUGUAACCACAGCAACAUUGUUGCCUGAUUAUCCAUCCUUCACUCCUGCCACACAUGCCACACCCUCAUCCCCUGCCUUCAGCGGCCAUAGAGAGCUUAUGAUGGCUUUUCACACUCCCCAUUCAGCUCUCUGCCUGGCACAACAGCAGCAGCAAACAUUUCAUGCUGUGGAUUUGCCUUUCCCUAAUGGCUCACCUAAAGUUGGGACAUUGGUACAAGAAAACACAGUGCUGUCAACUGAACUUCCUUCACUAGCUAACACCGAAAAACUAAAACAGUUUCUUCCCUUGUUUUCAGCAUCUCUAGCACAACAUGCAGGCCCUGUGCUGGGCGCCUCCCUUAUGUUUACUUCCUCUUGGAGCUUCAAUUCCCUCUCCAUGCAAGGCAGUGAUGACAGUCGCCCCCUCCCUGCACCGUAGGGGUAGGGGACUCUCUCUGAGGUCACACAGCUAGUAAAGCGUAGUAGUAGAGUAGGGACCAGAAGUCAGGCCCUUCAGAUUUCAACAUCUGCCCUGACGGACUUCUGGUUCUAAGGCCCCAAAGUGAGAGCCCCUUUGAGGUCUUAAGAGUGACCCAAGGGCAAAGCAAUGAACAAAUGUCAAAAAAGGCAGUGGUGAGGAUGAAAAGCUUGAAGAAUGCCAUCACCUGCAUGAAGGCUUGAUUGGGAGUGUGGGGGGAUGUCUUUAAACCAUCCCCUGAACUAGGAUUAAGCCCAGGUAAGAGUCAGGAGACGGGCUGGGUGGCAGUAAUGACACUGGGGCUGCUGUCAAGCACGCUCCACACUAACUGGGCUAAUUUCCCUAUGCCUCAGUUUCUUCUUUUAGAAAAUGGGUAAAGAGUUUCCAACUCAUGGGUCUGAAGUAUAAUUUUGAAGUAAUUAAUGUACACUGAUUUUUUUUUCUAAUUUUUAAAAAGAAUUCAAGUAAAAUGUUUAGACUAGGGCUGGAUAUAUAGGAAGAGCUCUGUAAGUGUUAAACUGCUAUUGCUGUCAUUGUACUUGUUAUGCACCAUAGAAGGUGCUUUUUCCACACCAUCCCCAGUAACUUCCUACCCUCUGCAAGGUAACAGUUCAAACUCCUGCUGGUGUGCUUUGCUCCAUGGCAUGGGCUUGCCUUUCCUCAUGCAAUCAGGUCCGGGGUGCCUUUCGCUACCUGCAACUUCAAGAGCACACUUGAGGCUGUCACCUCUGCUGAGCCUUCCCUGACCUCCCUGUCCUCUGUCCCCACCCCCCACCCAACACAGACUGCCUCAGUUCCCCAUUCAUAUGACACAGUCAAAGACCCCUUUGCCAGCGGCCUGUCCUUCCGCAGAUGGAGUCAGGCGUAGGACCCUGCUCAGACCCACCCAGUCCCAAUGCUCAUUCAUUCAUGCCUUCCCCAAAUAUCUAUCCUGUGUUUUGUGCUAGAAUUGGGGCAGGGUGGGGUGGAAUGAGGAUGGGGGUGGCAACAGCAAUAAACAAAGCAGAUACAGAACUUGUCCUUGGGGAAGAUGAUGAAAAACAAGUUAUGAGAGAAACUAUACAAUUCUGAAUUGUGAUCAAUGCAAUGAAAAAAAAAUAAGGUAAAAGAACUAUCUGGAGAUUAAGUAUCCCGCCACUCAGUAUCAACACAGAACCUUCCACAACCUCAUACCUUUCUAAUUAUCACUUUACAUGACACAUCAUACCUUAACGCCUCUAAGCAUAAAAUCCUCAAGUCAUUGAGAAAUGGGCCCUUGCCAUUUCUCCUUGCCUUGGCAAAUGGAUAGGGUUUGCUCUGUGGCAUAGAAAUUCCGGCCACAGGCUCUGAGGACUCUCAGUUUGGCACUAGCUCCUGAUUUGCCAGCGAGUCUCAGGGCGCGGAGCAGCUCAUUUGGAAUUUUGCCAAGGCCCCCAGGAGUGGGCAGCCUUCAGAUUCCCUUUGACUAAUUUUUAUUUUCCCCCAAUCAUGAACAGUGGCUGGGUUUUUAAAAGCCACCAAACUAAGAGAAUGGUGAAAAAUAAGAUGCUGCAAACAUGAAAUGAUAGUUAAAACCAUGCCUGGGCUCUGACCUGUGCCAACAUCUAGCCAAUUGUUCUAACUCUGAAUGGAGUUUUCCAGGUGCUUUGAGGGGCUCUUGGGAUUUUAUGUUUCGAUCAGAGCCCACUCUAAAGGGAUUUUUGGCUAAGUCAAGCAAUGCUCCCCUUUCUUUCCUGGAAGAGAAGGCAGCCAACUUUCUCUCACCUUCACUCUUAAGUCUAACUUGCAGUCCACUUAUUCUUUCUGGUUGCUUUGCUAGGGGCUGCAAUUACUGUGUUGGGGGGUGGGGGGCGCAGCCAAGCCUCCUUUACCAAGCCAGCCCCACUCUUGCUGGUAAAGUCUCAUUUCCCACACAGCCUGUCCGCCUGCAGUGAUUCCUGCUGGAGUCCGCCUUUUCCUUCAAGCCUCUCAUUUCUUUGCAGUCUUUUCCCUCCCAGGAAGCACAGGGCCUGAAGCAAACAUUCAGCUGCUGUAUCACCCACUUCCUGGUGCUGCCAUCCUGUCUGACUCUUCUGACCCCAGGACUCCAGAGCUGUUUGCAAACUUCUGUGAUACUUGCUACUUCUCCUGCCUUAGCUGAUUGUCUUGGACCUGACUUCAUCUGUUCCUGUUUGUCGAAUGCUGUGCCAUCUGCCAGGCAGGCCAGGCUCCUUGGACAUGGCCAUGAGGUGUAUCUGAGGAACCUGGCCCUUGAAAUCAGGCAAGCUUGGAUUCACCCCCAGCAAUGCCAUUACCAGCUGAACUCCACUUUCUGCAUCAGUAAAUCAGAGUUCCAUAAAGUUGAAAAACAGGAAAAAAAAAUUUUUUUUCAUUUUGCAGAUUGAAUGUUCUUAAUGAUGUUAUGCAUAUAUUCACCUGAACCUCCAGGCUUAAUGGACAUCCUAUAAUAAUCAUAAUACCAGUACAGGAAACUAUCUUAAGGAUUACAGGAGUUUGUAUAUGCAAAGUGCCUGAAUUCCUACUAGGACCUUGGAAAAGACUGAAUAAAUAUUCCAUCCACUCCUCCUUUAGCGCAAACUAGUAUUUUUCCACCUAUAUAUUUUUAGUAAUCAAUUUUAUUGGGGUAUAAUUGACUUAGAAAGUUGUAUUGGUUUCAGGUUUACAGCAAAGUAAAUCUGUUAUACAUAUACAUAUAUCCAUUCCUUUGCAGAUUCUUUUCCCAUAUUGGUUAUUACACAGAAUUGAUUAGGUUACCAUGUGUUAUACUGUAGCUCCUUGCCACCUAUACCAUUUUAACUUGUAUUACAUCGCAACUGCCUAUUUCAUGCCCUCUAACCCCAUUCUGGAUGGUCUUAAUUACAGUAUGCUCCAUUUUUCUACGUAACUGUCAAUCAGAAAUAUCCACUUGCUCAGAGGGGAAUGAAACCAGGGCUGGCUGUUGUCAUUUUAACCUUUUGGAGUCCCAUGGAGCUUAGGAUUUUUACAGAAGUAUAUCUUGGCAGCUGCAACUGUCUCAUGCUAAAAUUAAGAAGUCAAGAUGCUUAUUUCAUAGAAGCCCAUAUUUUUGGCAACAACCUGUACCUUGUCUAUUAGGAGAAAUGAGUGGGUCUUAUAUGACUUAGAGCCUCCGCGGAGGUUUGGUUUAGAUUGUCUCUAACUACAUGGAAAAAAGUACAUUUUCCAAGCCCAAGAAUUUAUCAGCAUUACCUACAUCUGAAAACCUGUCAUUUAUGUACGCUUACAUUACUUUGGAAAAAAAAAAAAA